UACGUAGGGUGCGAGCGUUGUCCGGAUUUAUUGGGCGUAAAGAGCGUGUAGGCGGUUUGGUAGGUCCGCUGUGAAAACUCGAGGCUCAACCUCGAGACGCCGGUGGAAACCAUCAGGCUAGAGUCCGGAAGAGGAGAGUGGAAUUCCUGGUGUAGCGGUGAAAUGCGCAGAUAUCAGGAAGAACACCCGUGGCUAAGGCGGCUCUCUAGUACGGUACUGACGCUGAGACGCGAAAGCGUGGGGAGCGAACAGG
rnacentral:rRNA from 1 species